rnacentral:rRNA from 1 species
GUCUACAGCCAUACCAUCCUGAACGCGCCUGAUCUCGCCUGAUCUCAGAAGCUAAGCAGGGUCAGGCCUGAUUUGUACUUGGAUGGGAGAAACAAAGGCAAAUAUCAUCAGGCAAUUAUAUGAGAAAGCAGUAACCA